rnacentral:rRNA from 1 species
UACGGAGGGUGCGAACGUUAAUCGGAAUCACUGGGCGUAAAGCGCGCGUAGGCGGUUUGUUAAGUGGGAUGUGAAAGCCCCGGGCUUAACCUGGGAAUUGCGUUUCAAACUGACGAGCUAGAGUGCGGUAGAGGGAGGUAGAAUUUCCUGUGUAGCGGUGAAAUGCGUAGAUAUAGGAAGGAAUACCAGUGGCGAAGGCGGCCUCCUGGAUCGACACUGACGCUAAGGCGCGAAAGCGUGGGGAGCAAACAGG